AUAUGACGACUACCUCUACCGGCCGUCUUUCUUUCGGUUCAGACCUUAUAUUAACUCUAUGGUUCAGACAUGCUCUGUUCAGGCUAGACGGCAUGGAAAGACAGAUAGAACAACAGGAAGCAAAACUCUGAUGCUUUUUGGUAACAACCACUAGGUGGCGCUUCGGUAGCGCGGCUGCCAUUUUGGGCUGAAUAUAACAGACAAAAUGACAACGAAGUCCAAGUGGAAUAAAAGAACGCAGUGUUCAGCAAUCCACUGCAAAAACUAUAAAUGUGACAGUACACAUCUUGCCUUUCAUCGUUUUCCCAAAGACCCUGCAAGCCAGAUCAGUGUUGCUGUGCUGGAGUCUGAUGUCAACAUCCUGAGGGUGUCCAACCGCAUAACGUGCCCUGGACAUGCUGAGUGAGAUGAGGCCACCAGUUUCAGCAGCAUCUGCUAUUGACCACGAUGGAAGUGUACUGGUUUACAGCUGGGUAUGGUCAGUAAGAUUGUGGGGAAAUCGCAGACAGGGAAGAUGGUCCCUGUAAGGAGUGUAAAAUCUUGACCACAGGUAUCCCUGCUGAUUCACAGAAUGCAUUACUCAAGGACAAACAGUAUGCUGACCUCAACUUAGGAGACAAGGGCCUUAAGGUGCCCAGCAUGGCACUGGUGGAUUUAGUCAUAUCAGAGUCUAACUUCCGAAAAAACAUGAGUGCGCACAGUUGGGAUGGGUGUAGGAAGCUAUUUACCAGUAGUAUGGUGAUUGUGAGUGAGUGCAGGGGAGUGUGUGACACAAAGAAUUGCAAAAAGUCACUCAUCUACAUGGUUAGACUCUAUAUGGAUCAGAAUAAUAUCUUGUGCACCCAAAAUUAGCGAAUUUCACAGCCAAAUCAGAAGCGCAAUAGAACAUUUCUUAAAUUAGGCCAUCAGCAAAUGUUGUUCAUUUAGUAGGCCUACACCUACAGUAGAUGCUGUAUUGUCUUGUAUAUGUUUUUUGGUUAUCAGUUGUGGAAUCCAAUGAUUAAAUGCACAUUAGAGGUA